CGGCCGCAGCGAUGUCCUGCCUCGGCCGAUGAUAGGCUGAAGCGCCGUGUGACGUACCUGGCUAAAGUAAGUAGGAAGCAGACAACCCAGCCGACCGAUCAGCUGUUGCGGAGCUCCGGGAGAACAUUUGGAGAUUAAGGACAGAGGACUCUCGACUGUAUGCUGGAAUAUUAUAAAGUCUUCAUUAUGGCUUUUCCAAGAAGUCUGCCUUCCUGACGUACACUUUCUCCACAGCAUUAUAUAGAGUGCAAGGUUGACCAACUAAAGAUAAAUCCAGAACUACCUUGAGAAUUGUUUUCCCACCUCUACUAUGGCAUCAGGCAUCCCAGACUAAAAAGUACUGCAUGUUUAUGAUGAUGUUGCUGUCAUGUGCCUUCAAGAGUUACCAGUGGAGCUUGAUGUAGAAAACAACACCACAGUGGAUUCUUCUUUGGAAGUUCACAGGUCCAACACAACAGCAGCAUGUCAAGAUAACACAGCAGGCAACAAUGUGGACAAAGUCACAUUAACUCUCCAAGAAAUUCCUAUUUUGCAACAACCAAGGACUGUAAAUCCAGAUUCAAGUCAACAUCUUAUUGAAGUUGGAAUUCGCCAAGAAAUUCUAAGUUUAAGUGUGAAAGUAAAUUCCAUUCAUGUCAAAAUAUUAGCAAAACAAAUAUUAGCCAAAAUGGUUAAAAAACAGAUCAAAAUAUUAUUUUUGUGAAAAUUGUCUGCUCAUAGUCUAUACUUUGCCCAACAAAAAUUAGAAAAAAAGAAAAAGGCAAAAAUGUUUUUC